GCAAAUUAGUUCAGACUAGGCAUUGGUAGGUCCUUGAAACAACAACCUUCUUAUGAACAUGUUAUAACAUUAGCUUUGCGCAGUGGCGGUACCAUAGCCAAUGAGGUCCAUCCGAGGCGUGGUUAUUGCUAGUUGAAAACUAAUCCCAAUACCCCGCGCUGACGCCCUUCACUGGGCGGCAUGCGCAAUUUUUGUUAGCUCCUACGGGGGCCUCAUAAC